GGACCCACGCCUCCGUGCGCCAUGCCGCAGGGCUCUGUGCACCCACUCCCUCUCCCCACUCGGUGCGUGGCGAAGCCGGGCAGCCCCUCCCCUCCCCUAUUCCGGCCAAUGCACAGCCCCUUCUCGUGGUGAGAGGGCCAAGCGCCUGCGACGUUGGGGAGUCGGAGAGACUCAGCGCCACUCACGUCGGCGGUCCGACGGUGGACGGCGUUGCACCGGAGCGACCUGCAGCACUGCACACGCGUGCGCCAUCCAUAUGAUGGGCAGAGUGUGCCGACGUGGCUGGGACGUAUCCCACCCGGCCCUCGCUGCUUAGUGGUGCGGGGCGGCUCAGGCGCCCCGCGAGGGAUAUGCACCACGUGGCAACCAGCAUGGCUGGGGCGGCUGCGAGGCGACCUGGGAUGCGGGCGGGUGCGUUGCCUUUGAGGCGGGGGCCGUGCUGAGAUGACCGGGCCGGCGCGUUGCUGUGGCGCGCGUGUCUACGGCUGCUCCGCACCGCGCGAUGCGAGGGGGAGGGGCCCUGUGGCAGACCCGGGGGGUGCAGCGUUGACCUCGCGUUGCACAGCAGCGAAACGGACACGUUGGCG
rnacentral:misc_RNA from 1 species